GACAGAGGGUGCAAACGUUGUCCGGAAUCAUUGGGCGUAAAGCGCGUGUAGGCGGCCCGGUAAGUCCGCUGUGAAAGUCGGGGGCUCAACCCUCGGAUGCCGGUGGAUACUGUCGGGCUAGAGUGCGGAAGAGGCGAGUGGAAUUCCUGGUGUAGCGGUGAAGUGCGCAGAUAUCAGGAGGAACACCAAUUGCGAAGGCAGCUCGCUGGGACGUGACUGACGCUGAGACGCGAAAGCGUGGGGAGCAAACAGG
rnacentral:rRNA from 1 species